UGAAUUAUUAUCGAGACAACGUGAUUUACGUAUAAUAUUAUGUGUAUAAUAAUUCGGUGAUAUAAUAUUAUGAUGUUUAAUCAUUUGGAUUUGAGGUGCAUUUAUUCAUCGUUUUUCGAAUAAGCGAUUAACGUAUUUCUUAAAUAAUAAAUUUAAUAUUUAUAAAAUAAGUAGGUAAUGCACUAUGCUCUGUCAACAACUAACAACAGUGUGAAUCGUUAUGACAACAUAUAAAAUCGAUAAGCGGCCCUUUAAUUUAUCCCGAAGCCACAUAAUACAUUAUUUUUAAGUAUUUUAAGGCAGGAAAUCAUUUUUAUUAUGUCACGGACAAUGACAUAGUUGAACAAAACGUUAAACAAAUAUUAUAAAACUGCAGAUACGUAUUUUUAUAUUCAUCUAAACAAUAUCAUAAUUAUUAUACCUACAUAAGUUCAGGUUUUCAUACUGAAUCGUCUUUUGACUCUUUUGCAGUGUAUACGCUGAAUACGUUGAUGUCAAAAUGUUGAAAACGCCAAACGCGUUACCUAUCCGUACAAGUAGAAUAUAUAAAUUACAAAAUUUCAAAUCGAACUAUACUCGUGAUGCAGUGUACAGGCCUAAAUGUAUAUUAUUCCUUAACAUUAUAAAGUCUCGUAACCCACAGGCAUCCGGGCAAUUGUCAUUUAGUCAGAGACUAGCUCUCUCACAUAACUACCCACGAUCCAUGCUGAACUAUGGCGUAAUGCGGCGGCCGCCAAACGGCUACCACUAUGAGACGAGGAGACACAUCUCGAAUACUUAUCCGAGGAAUUCGUAUACGAUAAGGUACGGUCUAUCGAACGUUGUCAGAAACAACAAUCGUGGGUCAUCGUCACCGUCGAAGGGUGGAAAAAAAAAACCAAAAAGAAGAAAUCCGGCGAUGAGGACGAAGGUGAGACGCCAGAUGACACCCGUUCGCCGGCCACGAGUCCACCAUACGAGGGUCCACCAGCCGAGAGUCCACCAGCCGGGAGUCCACCAGUCGUCCAGCCAGCGCCGCCUGGAGGACAGAGUGCACCGUAGAGCCAAAGAGGAAAACGGACAGACAGCGAGCUGUCACCAGCUGUUUGAAAAUUAAAAUAAGCAAUAUUAUCAUUUUAUUAAAUUAUUCAAAUAACCUUACUCAUUUCCAAUUCAGCCUUUUCGUGUGUGUUUGAAAAUUGUUAAAUAAUAUUAUAGCUACCUAGGUUGGGUCACCUUUUUUUUGUGCGGUGUAGAUACUAGGCAAUCUAGUCGAAAUAACUACAUAGGUUUUAUUAGAAAGAAAAGUCUUUUUA